UACAGAGGGGGCAAGCGUUGUUCGGAAUUACUGGGCGUAAAGGGCGCGUAGGCGGCCUGCUAAGUCGAACGUGAAAUCCCUGGGCUCAACCCAGGAACUGCGUCCGAUACUGGUUGGCUUGAAUCCGGGAGAGGGAUGCAGAAUUCCAGGUGUAGCGGUGAAAUGCGUAGAUAUCUGGAGGAAUACCGGUGGCGAAGGCGGCAUCCUGGACCGGCAUUGACGCUGAGGAGCGAAAGCUAGGGGGGCAAACGGG
rnacentral:rRNA from 1 species